rnacentral:rRNA from 1 species
AUUGAACGCUGGCGGCAGGCCUAACACAUGCAAGUCGAGCGAGCGGCGGACGGGUGAGUAAUGUCUGGGGAACUGCCUGAUAGAGGGGGAUAACUACUGGAAACGGUGGCUAAUACCGCAUACUAUCGGAUGUGCCCAUAUGGGAUUAGCUAGUAGGUGGGGUAAAGGCUCACCUAGGCGACGAUCCCUAGCUGGUCUGAGAGGAUGACCAGCCACACUGGGACUGAGACACGGGCCAGACUCCUACGGGAGGCAGCAGUGGGGAAUAUUGCACAAGGGGCGCAAGCCUGAGGCAGCCAUGCCGCGUGUAUGAAGAAGGCAUUAGGGUUGGAAAGUACUUUCAGCGGGGAGGCGUUACCCGCAGAAGAAGCACCGGCUAACUCCGUGCCAGCAGCCGCGGUAAUAC